rnacentral:misc_RNA from 1 species
AACGCACCUUGCGCCCUUUGGUAUUCCGAAGGGCAUGCCUGUUUGAGUGUCAUUAAAUUCUCAACCUUGCAAGCUUUGCUUGCGAGGCUUGGAUGUGAGGGUUUUGCUGGCUUCCUUUUCGGAUGGUCUGCUCCCUUUAAAUUCAUUAGUGGGAUCCUUUGUGGAUGGUCACUUGGUGUGAUAAUUAUCUACGCCGCCUGACUCUGACGCAAGACUUGUGGGAACCUGCUUAUAACUGUCUCUUUCAGAGACUUAUCUUUUGACAAUUUGACCUCAAAUCAGGUAGGACUACCCGCUGAACUUAA